CGCGUAGGCGGCCUGGUAAGUCAGAUGUGAAAGCCCGGGGCUUAACCCCGGAAGGGCAUUUGAUACUGUCAGGCUUGAGUAUGGGAGAGGGAAGUGGAAUUCCUGGUGUAGAGGUGAAAUUCGUAGAUAUCAGGAGGAACACCGGUGGCGAAGGCGACUUCCUGGACCAAUACUGACGCUGAGGCGCGAAGGCGUGGGGAGCAAACAGGAUUAGAUACCCUGGUAGUCC
rnacentral:rRNA from 1 species